rnacentral:rRNA from 1 species
AUUGAACGCUGGCGGCAGGCCUAACACAUGCAAGUCGAGCGGAGCGGCGGACGGGUGAGUAAUGCCUAGGAAUCUGCCUGGUAGUGCGGGCUAACUUCCGGAAACGGGCGCUAAUACCGCAUACUAUCAGAUGAGCCUAGGUCGGAUUAGCUAGUUGGUUGGGUAAAGGCCUACCAGGGCGACGAUCCGUAACUGGUCUGAGAGGAUGAUCAGUCACACUGGAACUGAGACACGGUGCAGACGCCUACGGGAGGCAGCAGUGGGGAAUAUUGGAAAAUGGGAGAAAGCCUGAUCUAGCCAUGCCGCGUGUGGGAAGAAGGUCUUCGGAUUGUAAAGCACUUUAAGUUGGGAGGCGUUACCAACAGAAUAAGCACCGGCUAACUUCGUGCCAGCAGCCGCGGUAAUUC